UUCUUCGGGGCAGGGUGAGAUUCCCUACCGGCGGUGACAGUCCGCGACUCUUCUGGACGUAUGAACAGGAGACUGAUUCGGUGAAAUUCCGGAACCGACAGUUAAAGUCUGGAUGAGAGAAGAA
rnacentral:ncRNA from 1 species